UGAGGAAUAUUGGUCAAUGGACGAGAGUCUGAACCAGCCAAGUAGCGUGCAGGAUGACGGCCCUAUGGGUUGUAAACUGCUUUUGUUUGGGAAUAAUCGACAUUACGUGUAAUGUUUUGCAUGUACCAUUCGAAUAAGGACCGGCUAAUUCCGUGCCAGCAGCCGCGGUAAUACGGAAGGUCCAGGCGUUAUCCGGAUUUAUUGGGUUUAAAGGGAGUGUAGGCGGUUGGUUAAGCGUGUUGUGAAAUGUACCGGCUCAACCGGUGAGUUGCAGCGCGAACUGUCAGGCUUGAGUGCACGGUAAGCAGGCGGAAUUCAUGGUGUAGCGGUGAAAUGCUUAGAUAUCAUGAGGAACUCCGAUUGCGAAGGCAGCUUGCUGCAGUGCGACUGACGCUUAGGCUCGAAGGUGCGGGUAUCAAACAGG
rnacentral:rRNA from 1 species